rnacentral:rRNA from 1 species
GACGAACGCUGGCGGCGUGCUUAACACAUGCAAGUCGAACGGAAAGGCCCUGCUUUUGUGGGGUGCUCGGGUGGCGAACGGGAGAGUAACACGAGAGUAACGUGCCCUGGACUUUGGGAUAACUUCAGGAAACUGGGGCGAAUACCGGAUAGGAGCUCCUGCUGCAUGGGGGGGGUGGGAAAGGUUCGGCGGUUGGGGAUGGGCGCGCGGGUUAUGAGCCUGUUGGUGGGGUAGUGGCGUACCAAGGCUUUGACGGGUAGCCGGCCUGAGAGGGUGAGCGGCCACAUUGGGACUGAGAUACGGCCCAGACUCCUACGGGAGGCAGCAGUGGGGAAUAUUGCACAAUGGGCGGAAGCCUGAUGCAGCAACGCCGCGUGCGGGAUGACGGCCUUCGGGUUGUAAACCGCUUUCGCCUGUGACGAAGCGUGAGUGACGGUAAUGGGUAAAGAAGCACCGGCUAACUACGUG